rnacentral:rRNA from 1 species
GAUGAACGCUGGCGGCGUGCUUAAUACAUGCAAGUCGAGCGAACAGACGAUGAGCUUACUCCUCUGACGUUAGCGGAGGGGGGGUGAGUAACACGUGGAUAACCUACCUAUACUACUGUGAUCACUUGGAACCGCCGCAAAUAAUACCUGAUAACAUGUUGCACCGUCGGGUUCAUCGGUGAAACACGGUCUUGCUGUCACUUCUAGAUGCAUCCUCGCCGCUUUGGCGAGUUGGUAAGGUACCGGGUUACCAAGGCAACGAUGCGUAGCCGACCUGAGAGGGUGAGCGGCCACACUGGAACUGAGACACGGUCCAGACUCCUACGGGAGGCAGCAGUAGGGAAUCUUCCGCAAUGGGCGAAAGCCUGACGGAGCAACGCCGCGUCAGUGAAGAAGGUCUGCGGAGCGUAAAACUCUGUUAUUAGGGAAGAACAAAUGUGUAAGUAAAUAUGCACGACUUGACGGUACCUAAUCAGAAAGCCCCGGCUAACUACGUG